rnacentral:rRNA from 1 species
GAAUGAAGAAGGCCUUAGGUUUCCGUAAAGUUCUUUUGUCAGGGAAGAAAAGGCUUGUGCUAAUAUCACAAGCUGCUGACGGUACCUGAAGAAUAAGCACCGGCUAACUACGUGCCAGCAGCCGCGGUAAUACGUAGGGUGCAAGCGUUAAUCGGAAUUACUGGGCGUAAAGCGUGCGCAGGCGGAUAUGUAAGUUAGGAGUGAAAUCCCCGGGCUCAACCUGGGAAUGGCUUUUAAGACUGCGUAUCUAGAGUUUGUCAGAGGGGGGUGGAAUUCCAAGUGUAGCAGUGAAAUGCGUAGAGAUUUGGAGGAACACCAAUGGCGAAGGCAACCCCCUGGGAUAAAACUGACGCUCAUGCACGAAAGCGUGGGUAGCAAACAGGAUUAGAUACCCUGGUAGUCCACGCCCUAAACGAUGUCUACUUGCUGUUGGGGGCAACCUUAGUAGCGAAGCUAACGCGAGAAGUAGACCGCCUGGGGAGUACGGUCGCAAGAUUAAAACUCAAAGGAAUUGACGGAAU